CAUAUCUCUGAACUCAUGCUCGAAUAAUCCCUUCAGUUCUUCUAUAUCAAAAUCCUCAUCGGAAUUGAAAUCGCCAUUCGAAUCAGGCUUGCACGCGGGUAAAAAAGAAGAUAGAAGGUGAAGAAACACACAGGAUUUGACACGUUAUUCGCUUGUUGUUCUUCAAUCGGUGCAUGGUGAUGAUGAAUGAUGGCGUUGCGUUGUGAUAAAGAUGACGAAGAAUUGUUGUUGUUGUUCAUCGAGGGGUAUUGUUGAUUGAAAUGAAGACAAAUAUGUUCAGAUUCGUGAUGCACUACCUCUCAAUUUUCUGUUGCAAUUUCAUCCCGCGACCUCAGUUGCAGAUUGGAUGGUACACACAUGAGGAUUGAGCAAAAGGCGUUCAAGAUGACUUUCACUUGUAAAACCUUGGCCUAUGGACAAAUUCCAAACAUGCAGAGCUUUGAAGAUUCCAACAAAGAGAUGAUUUGUAAUGGAAAUAGGAGUAAGGGUUCAAGGUGGUUUGAGUUGUAAUAUAUGCUAUGCUUUGAUAGGAUUUGGGUUAUUGUAUUGAAAUGAAUGGUUUAUGUAUGAAAAAUGGAAUUUUGAAUGUAAUUGGAUUGUUAAUGCAAAUGAAUGAAAUUUUUUAUGGGAUUUUGAAUA